GAGAGAACAAGAGCGACGAAGUCUCUCCUUUAAAAAUGCGGCAUAACAACAAAGCGGCGAGCGGCUUUCGAGCUCACGUAUGUAGUUGUAUACCCGUUACUUAAAUAGUUAUUGGGGUAUACGGUGCCCCUCACAGAUUUUUUUAAUCAAAUACUUUGCAUAAGUACUCAGAUAAUUUAAAUGUUAAUACUUUAAACAAAUUAAAAUUCGAUUUUGUUUCAUCUAAGAUGUUGGGGGUAAAAAUAUUGAUAUUCAUCCAUUCAUCUUAUCAUCUAUGACUUUCACCGCUUUUAAGUAUUCUGAAAUAUUGGCUCAUAGACUAAAGGGUAUAUAUGAGUAGUUACGGUCCGUAAAAAGGGCGCUCUCUUGUUUUGUUUUUGUUUUGGUGUUGCCAGAAGAUUUCGCACGAUGUAGGAUCAACAUGUUAUUGACACGACGCCGCCGACGCCGCCACUUUUGAGCUUGGCGGAGCGAAAAGCACACAAACAAGAAGCGACGCAGAGCGGCGGUGCAAAAAUAAGAAGAAAAAAAAAAAAACUGAAGAGCGAAGGGGCGUGGCGGUGCGCAGGGGCGGGGCAGGUAGCCGGACAAACGGGACGAACAGGAUGAAACCCAGACGAGUUCGGCCCAACUGCAGAUUUCAUGGAACUGGCCGAAGGUUGGGGAUGCGCAGGCGCGCAAGUAAACAACAUUCCAUUCCUCGGGAAAUUUCUUCUGGCCGUUUGAGAAGCGCGCCAAAAAUAAAGCCCCGACCGAUGUCGUUUACACAAGUAUUGGGAUUUCGACUUUUCAGAUUUCUCGCGAUUCAAAGCCCUUGGCGAGAGCACUGCCGAACCAACAUACUCGAGAUUCGGGUUUCAGGGCUAGAAGCGUGUUUCUUCAAGAAUUGCAAGUUCACUUAAAAAUACGGAAAAAAGAUUCUACGAAAAUCCUUACAAGAUCUAAACUGUUUAUGCCGCCUCUGUGACAGCAAAUGAGAUUUUGGAAUUCCACCACUCCAUGUGGCGAACUCGACUCAUGGAAGCUUGACUGCAUGUAUGAAAGCGGCACAACUACCCGUUUCCGGUGGGUAGUCGGUCCGCAAUGUGGGCCGCCGACACCAUUCCACAGCCAAUUGACGUCACAAGCGACACAACAGCAACAACCUGGCACAACGCUUUCUGGGUUACAACAGCUCACGGAUGUCGAAAUGCAUCGCAAAAUGGGAGAAAAUCAGGAAAAGAAAGAAACCAAGAGUCACCUGAAUGGCAAGUUGAUUUAGGAGAGAUUUGGACAAUCAAUCGGCUUAGUUUACAGCCCAGCGGGACUCAGUGCCACAGGUUCAACUGUACAAUAAUACCCAGAAGAUGACGACGACGAUAAUAAAGGGGGAUGGGCGAUGGGGAAUGGGUGAAAUGUUAAUGGAUUGCCCUAGGACCUGCCCUCAUUCCGUUUGCCAUCUUCGUUUGUUCGCUUCUGCUCUUGUGCAUUCCCAUUCCAAAUCCCAAUCCCAUUUCCAUUCCGAUUCAAGUUGUGCUUCUCUGCCACACCGCCUUUCUGCCCCUUUUGCGGUGUUCUGUUGCUUUGUUGAUGUUACAAUUGUUGCACUUGUUGUGUGCGGCUUAGGACGUUGAACCACAGCCGGCAGAAAUGCAGAACUGCACGCAACUCAGUGGCAAGUGUACAGCUGCGGUCACAGUAUUAGCAAUGCAUUGCAAGGAAUUCCUUCAGACUGCUGUAUAAUUGAUUUCCCUACGCGUAAAUUGGCCGACAUGUUUUAGUUAUUAUCUGCAAUCCAAAGGUUCGGAAGCAACGGAUUUUCGAAAGGCCCUAAAGACAUUAAUAUACAUAUAUGUAUGUCUUUACAACUCCGAAGUACUUAGGAAAAAUGACCAAUCAAUCGGAUAUAUACAUAAUUCCCAAUGUCUGCGUUCUUCUUUCCAUUUCAUUCUUGCAAAUUGCUAACAUUUUUACCGCCGUCGCUGUCGCAUUCAUUUUUAUGCUCAUUCGCCAACUUAAAGGCUAUGCUAGUAAAAAUCAAUAAACAACAUUACUGUCACUCACACAUUAAUACAUACAUAUGCAUGUAUUGGAUGUCCGGUUGAAAUGAUGACGAUAAAAGGUCACGACGAAGAAUUUUUCGCCAAUUGCCUGGUGGGUCGCACAGUCUGGGUCGCGAGACGUCUGACUAGACAACAUGCAAAUAGUAACGGUAAUCAUUAGACGCACACACUCACACUUAUUUGCAUGCACACUCUCUCUGGCUCUGAUUCUGGUUUUGGUCCCAUCUUCAUCUCUCUCGCGACCGCUCUCUCUUUCUCUCCCCAUUUUCUAUGCUGAGUUCGACGGCCUUCUUACGUAAAAUCAACAACAACGCUCUGCGGUAUUUCUCUUCUAAUAAGCGGGCGCUUGGGGGUGGGGGAUGUGCACUCGCCGACGGAGUUGCCAUAUCUAGCCAGACAUCAAACUCGUUUUCACUGUUUUGACUCCACAAACUCACACAAAAACACGCCCGUGCACCAAUGUGAGUGAGUGUCUUUGCAACUGUACAAGAACAAUAAGUAGGGACAGCAUAAAAGCAACAACACACGGCGCAGACGCCAAGCAAACCGCUCCCCCUCCCAACGCUCCACUCAAUGUUUGUCUGUCUGUCUGGAACGUCUGUUUAUGUAUGCUUUAGGCGUACACAACAAGCAUGAAUGUGUGUGAGCAAAUUUUAUUUUUCUGAAUGUAAAGGAAGUGGCACGUACUGUACUACUCAACUCACCGCUGCCGCUACCAACAGCGGCCACAACAACAAGAGCAGUGACAGACGGAUCAGGCUGGGAAUUCGAAAUUGGAAAUGGAAUAAGAGCGGAGAGCUCCGCAUUCGGAUGUUCCGAUUCCGUAUCGUUCCCAGCAGCAAAGCGGUCAGCGUUCCAAUGCCAGCGGCACAGUGGUGCGAAACCGAAACUAGUGGUUGGAUCAUCAGCAGAAGAUACGUAGGAAAAGAGCGAAAGUAUACGGAUUUCCGUUUUGCUGUAGUAAUAAUAAUAAUAAUAGUUUAAUUUGAAAUGUUUCAAAAUUAAUAUAUGAUAAAAACUUACGAAAACUACCCAAACUAAAAAAUGUACAAUUUAUUUGUUAAAAAUGGAUUCAAUAAAAAUUAAAUAUUAUUUAACUAAUCCAAAAUGAUCGAUCCAUUGUGCAGCAAGAAAAGCGGCAUAAAAGGCGAAAGGGAGAGCUGCUGGUUUGCGUCUCCGCUGUGCAGCAGACAGACAAGACGCAAUGCGUUUUCUGAGAGCCUGGAAGGAGGCGGCGGAAGGAGAGGGUGUGCCGCAAUAUUAUAAACAGGAAAUGGAAUUUACCCACACGGAUGCAGACCAGUGUAGUGUGUGUCUGUGUGAAAUGUUGAUGAGCCGCCAAACGGACGUGGUGCUUAAUUCACAAAUGAGCACGAUAGAGACAGAGAGAGCAAAGCACACUGCCGAAUAAGCGAAGGAGACGGCGGAGCGCGCUUACAAAGUUGAUUGAAAUCAAUAUACGUAUGUAUGUAUACCUAGCGUGCAAAAGGCCAUAGACAAGUGUGCCGGUGUGAGUGUGCUACGUCCGCUCGUGGAAUGUUUGAAAAACGCGGCCAAUGACGACUGCCAAACGACGAGAAGAGCAAGAAUGUUGAACUCUGGAAUGCGGCUGGAAGUGAGAAGUUUCUGAAAAUAGAAGCCGGGGGAGGGGGCUUUUGCACCUGCCACGCCCAGCUGCCCCUGGAAUCAAUUAACAUGUUGCACAAGUGCAGCGGCUCCUAUGCAUACAUAUAUCGUAUGUACUUGUGAUACCGUGUCUUACGCACACAGAGGUGCAAUUGCAGAUGGCGACGAAUGUAGCGUGUAGUUUUUUCUCGGAAAUGAGCAAUGAAUGAAAUUCGGUUGUUUUCAGAGUGUACUCACUCACUCACACAAACACGCACGCACACACUUGCAAUUUGGAGCAAGAGAGAAAGUCUGCACGACAUGCGCUCUGGCGUUUGUGUGUAUACAAUUUGUUUACUUUUUGCGCUACAAUUGGCAAAUAAAACAAUAGCGCAUUUUUACGCAGCAUUUUAGCAUACUAACCCACAUUGAUUGCUCCGCAAAGCGUGCAAAAAUUUGUUGUCUUCCUAAUUAAAGAAAAUUAAAAAAACACUAAGCGAAAAAAAUGUCGGCAAAAACAAGACGCAGCUGAAUUGUGCGCUAGUGUGUGUAAAAAGGAGACGGCCAUAGAAAAAAAAAAACAUACAUAUACACAGGAGAAUUUACUGCUGCUUGCGGCGCCCACACACACAUACACAAAAACACACGCCUAUUUAGUACAGCAACUGCGUAAAUUCAAUAAAAAUAUUCUAGUGGAGUAAAAAAAAAAUCUCCAUUUCCUGUCUUCAUUUCCCCUUUUUUCGCCAGAGAUACACAGUCACUAA